CAAUAGCGUAUAUUAAAGUUGUUGCGGUUAAAAGCUCGUAGUUGAAUUUUUGCCGAAGCUGUACCCUUCGGGGCGCGGCUGAGGCAUUACGAGGGUAGUUAACUCUGUCCUCACGUUACUUUGAAGAAAUUAGAGUGCUCAAAGCAAACAACCGUUUGAAUACAACAGCAUGGAAUAACAUUAUAAGAUCUAGAUUCUCAUUUGUUGGUUUAAAGAAUCAAGAUAAUGGUAAAUAGGGACAGUCGGGGGCAUUUGUAUUCGGCAGUCAGAGGUGAAAUUCUUGGAUUUGCCGAAGACAAACUACUGCGAAAGCAUUUGCCAAGGAUGUUUUCAUUAAUCAAGAACGAAAGUUAGGGGAUCGAAGAUGAUUAGAUACCGU
rnacentral:rRNA from 1 species